rnacentral:rRNA from 1 species
UGGGGAAUCUUGCGCAAUGGGCGAAAGCCUGACGCAGCAACGCCGCGUGCGGGAUGAAGGCCCUCGGGUUGUAAACCGCUUUCAGUGGGGACGAACCAAGACGGUACCCACAGAAGAAGCCCCGGCCAACUACGUGCCAGCAGCCGCGGUAACACGUAGGGGGCAAGCGUUGUCCGGAUUUAUUGGGCGUAAAGAGCUCGUAGGCGGUUCAGUAAGUCGGGUGUGAAACCUCCAGGCUCAACCUGGAGACGCCACCCGAUACUGCUGUGACUAGAGUCCAGUAGGGGAGCGUGGAAUUCCUGGUGUAGCGGUGAAAUGCGCAGAUAUCAGGAGGAACACCAGUGGCGGAGGCGGCGCUCUGGGCUGGAACUGACGCUGAGGAGCGAAAGCGUGGGGAGCGAAC